GCUGCUACCCUCCUCUCAAUAUGGACAGACGCUCUUGACACGCUCGUGCGGCUGUAGUUUUAUCGUCUCUUCGUCUCCUUGUUCAUUCAAUCAUGCCGCUGCACACCAGUUUAUGGAAAUGGCCUUCAAGUUGUAGUCAGUGCAGCCGCCACCCCAAACAGCAAUACAGCUGGAGAGGACGCUCUCAAUGGUGCCGCGGUAAAAUGCAGUCAUGACGGCCGGAGGAGCGCUCGCCUGAGUUUCCGCAGGAAGUACAGGCGGCGCUGGGCUUUCUUUGCCAGUGAUGCGGUGUUGGUGGACCAGGAGAGAUCCUCACUGAUGUGCACCCCCCGGUGCUGGUAAUCUUACAUGUUCCUCUGGUUUGAAGUCAAAAGUGUUGACCCAUGUUAAUAUAUUGACUAAAAAAUAUAUCCAGAACAUUACAGCACUUGGAGCAAUGAAGAAGCCAGCAAAGUGUUUGCCUUUAAGUUUAUUUUUGAUAUUUUGUAGAACAGGAGAACCGAUGAUUACAAAAAAAGUCCAUGUGUUCUACAUGCUACACAUUAACCUAACUAGCAUGCUUGUCUGAAAAAAGUACAUAGAAAAAGGAAAAAAAAAUGUCGUACAAUUAAAACGGACGUACAAUAUACUUACUAUUUACUUUAAAUGUACCUUUCCUCUUGCCUCCAUGCACGCAAUGUUUGAUACACCUCAUUGAUUUAAAAAACAAAAAAAAUUAAGACUUUUAGGUGCUGUCCCCCUACUACAAACUGAAUGCACCUAUAAAUAAAAAAAAAUAAUCGAUAGAUGGAAAAAUGGAAAGCCUCAACACAGAUGAAUUUGCAUCCUACCAUAAAAACAAAAAGGAACACCUGGACGCCCAAAUAGUGCUGAAAUGAAAAUGGUCUUACCGACUCCUCGCUCUUCAACAAUCACAUUGAAAUGACAAUUUUUCGAUCAAAUAAAUAUCGCACGUGCUAGAAAUAAAUAAUGAUCACUGAAAAACACCUCACUAUGUUAAACGCUAACGUGAGAGAGAUUUCAACGAUGAGACCACUUCGUUUCAUGGUAUGAGGAUGGUCGUGGUGUGUAAAGCACUAGUGCGGCUUCGAGUGUCUCUCGCGGCUGUUACCUUGAGGUAGAUAACACGAUACAUUACGCCUACGAUAAUGGUUGCUGCUGGCAUCAUGUGUCACAUUUACAAUAUGAAAGGGCUGUAAAGGAAGCUUUUGCUCUUUU